rnacentral:rRNA from 1 species
UACGAGAGGCCCAAACGUUAUUCGGAAUUACUGGGCUUAAAGGGUGCGUAGGCGGCGUGGCAAGUUGGGUGUGAAAUCCCUCGGCUCAACCGAGGAACUGCGCUCAAUACUGCCAUGCUCGAGGGAGACAGAGGUGAGCGGAACUUAGGGUGGAGCGGUGAAAUGCGUUGAUAUCCUAAGGAACACCGGUAGCGAAAGCGGCUCACUGGGUCUUUUCUGACGCUGAGGCACGAAAGCUAGGGUAGCGAACGGG